rnacentral:rRNA from 1 species
CCUACGGGCGGCUGCAGUGAGGAAUAUUGGUCAAUGGACGAGAGCCUGAACCAGCCAAGUAGCGUGCAGGAUGAAUGCCCUAUGGGUUGUAAACUUCUUUUAUAUGGGAAUAAAAUGUUCCACGUGUGGGGUUUUGUAUGUACCAUAUGAAUAAGGGCCGGCUAACUCCGUGCCAGCAGCCGCGGUAAUACGGAGGGGCCGAGCGUUAUCCGGAUUUAGUGGGUUUAAAGGGAGCGUAGGGGGAUUGUUAAGUCAGUUGUGAAAGUUGGCGGCUCAACCGGAAAAGUGCAGUUGAAACUGGAAGUCUUGAGUACAGUAGAGGUAGGCGGAAUUCGUGGUGUAGCGGUGAAAUGCUUAGAUAUCACGAAGAACCCCGAUUGCGAAGGCAGUUCACUGGACUGCAACUGACACUGAGGCUCGAAGGUGUGGGUAUCAAACAGGAUUAGAUACCCUGGUAGUC